rnacentral:rRNA from 1 species
UACGAAGGAUGCAAGCGUUAUCCGGAUUCACUGGGCUUAAAGGGUGUGUAGGCGGGGUAAUAAGUCAGUGGUGAAAGCCCCCGACUCAAUCGGGGAACUGCCAUAGAUACUGUUAUUCUUGAGUGUAGUUGAGGCGGAUGGAAUAUGACAUGUAGCGGUGAAAUGCUUAGAUAUGUCAUAGAACACCGAUCGCGAAGGCAGUCCGCCGAACUAUUACUGACACUGAAACACGAAAGUGCGGGGAUCAAACAGG